CCCUUAGAUGUUCUGGGCCGCACGCGCGCUACACUGACGAAUGCAGCGAGCUUAUAAUAACCUUGGCCGAAAGGUCUGGGUAAUCUCCAAAUUUCGUCGUGAUGGGGAUAGAUUAUUGCAAUUAUUAAUCUUCAACGAGGAAUGCCUAGUAAGCGCAAGUCAUCAGCUUGCGUUGAUUACGUCCCUGCCCUUUGUACACACCGCCCGUCGCUCCUACCGAUUGAAUGGUCCGGUGAAGCGUUCGGACCGUGGCCUUUGGACGGUUCGCCGUCUGUUGGCUGCGGGAAGUUCGUUAAACCUUAUCAUUUAGAGGAAGGAGAAGUCGUAACA
rnacentral:rRNA from 1 species